rnacentral:rRNA from 1 species
UACGUAGGGGGCAAGCGUUGUCCGGAAUCAUUGGGCGUAAAGCGCGUGUAGGCGGCUUGGUAAGUCUGCUCUGAAAGCCCGGGGCUCAACCCCGGGAGGCGGGUGGAUACUGUCAAGCUAGAGUCCGGAAGAGGCGAGUGGAAUUCCUGGUGUAGCGGGUGAAAUGCGCAGAUAUCAGGAGGAACACCCAUGGCGAAAGGCGGCU